AGAGUUUGAUCAUGGCUCAGAUUGAACGCUGGCGGCAGGCCUAACACAUGCAAGUCGAACGGUAACAGGAAGAAGCUUGCUUCUUUGCUGACGAGUGGCGGACGGGUGAGUAAUGUCUGGGAAACUGCCUGAUGGAGGGGGAUAACUACUGGAAACGGUAGCUAAUACCGCAUAACGUCGCAAGACCAAAGAGGGGGACCUUCGGGCCUCUUGCCAUCGGAUGUGCCCAGAUGGGAUUAGCUAGUAGGUGGGGUAACGGCUCACCUAGGCGACGAUCCCUAGCUGGUCUGAGAGGAUGACCAGCCACACUGGAACUGAGACACGGUCCAGACUCCUACGGGAGGCAGCAGUGGGGAAUAUUGCACAAUGGGCGCAAGCCUGAUGCAGCCAUGCCGCGUGUAUGAAGAAGGCCUUCGGGUUGUAAAGUACUUUCAGCGGGGAGGAAGGGAGUAAAGUUAAUACCUUUGCUCAUUGACGUUACCCGCAGAAGAAGCACCGGCUAACUCCGUGCCAGCAGCCGCGGUAAUACGGAGGGUGCAAGCGUUAAUCGGAAUUACUGGGCGUAAAGCGCACGCAGGCGGUUUGUUAAGUCAGAUGUGAAAUCCCCGGGCUCAACCUGGGAACUGCAUCUGAUACUGGCAAGCUUGAGUCUCGUAGAGGGGGGUAGAAUUCCAGGUGUAGCGGUGAAAUGCGUAGAGAUCUGGAGGAAUACCGGUGGCGAAGGCGGCCCCCUGGACGAAGACUGACGCUCAGGUGCGAAAGCGUGGGGAGCCAACAGGAUUAGAUACCCUGGUAGUCCACGCCGUAAACGAUGUCGACUUGGAGGUUGUGCCCUUGAGGCGUGGCUUCCGGAGCUAACGCGUUAAGUCGACCGCCUGGGGAGUACGGCCGCAAGGUUAAAACUCAAAUGAAUUGACGGGGGCCCGCACAAGCGGUGGAGCAUGUGGUUUAAUUCGAUGCAACGCGAAGAACCUUACCUGGUCUUGACAUCCACGGAAGUUUUCAGAGAUGAGAAUGUGCCUUCGGGAACCGUGAGACAGGUGCUGCAUGGCUGUCGUCAGCUCGUGUUGUGAAAUGUUGGGUUAAGUCCCGCAACGAGCGCAACCCUUAUCCUUUGUUGCCAGCGGUCCGGCCGGGAACUCAAAGGAGACUGCCAGUGAUAAACUGGAGGAAGGUGGGGAUGACGUCAAGUCAUCAUGGCCCUUACGACCAGGGCUACACACGUGCUACAAUGGCGCAUACAAAGAGAAGCGACCUCGCGAGAGCAAGCGGACCUCAUAAAGUGCGUCGUAGUCCGGAUUGGAGUCUGCAACUCGACUCCAUGAAGUCGGAAUCGCUAGUAAUCGUGGAUCAGAAUGCCACGGUGAAUACGUUCCCGGGCCUUGUACACACCGCCCGUCACACCAUGGGAGUGGGUUGCAAAAGAAGUAGGUAGCUUAACCUUCGGGAGGGCGCUUACCACUUUGUGAUUCAUGACUGGGGUGAAGUCGUAACAAGGUA
rnacentral:rRNA from 1 species